GCUAGGAAUAGGAAUAAAGAGAUGCCCUAAGAGCAACGGGAAUGAGAACAUAGAGGAAAAACUAACUUAUUGGUUCUUCACCUCUUUUGUUGACAUGGAAAUCCCUUUUGGUAUUUCCCAAUGCCUCUCAUUCCUAUCGUUCUUAUGCACCUCCUUCCUUUUCCUUUUCGUU
rnacentral:pre_miRNA from 1 species